rnacentral:rRNA from 1 species
AGAGUUUGAUCCUGGCUCAGAAUCAACGCUGGCGGCGCGCUUAACACAUGCAAGUCGAACGAGAAAGGGGAGCAAUCCCUGAGUACAGUGGCGUACGGGUGAGUAACACGUGGAUGACCUACCCUCUGGUGGGGAAUAACCCUGGGAAACCGGGGCUAAUACCGCAUAAGUCCGGGAGGAGAAAGGCGCAAGUCGCCGGAGGAGGGGUCCGCGGCCGAUUAGCUUGUUGGUGGGGUAACGGCCUACCAAGGCGAAGAUCGGUAGCCGGCCUGAGAGGGCACACGGCCACACUGGCACUGAGACACGGGCCAGACUCCUACGGGAGGCAGCAGUGGGGAAUCUUGCACAAUGGGGGAAACCCUGAUGCAGCGACGCCGCGUGAGCGAUGAAGCCCUUCGGGGUGUAAAGCUCUUUCGACGGGAACGAUCAUGACGGUACCCGGAGAAGAAGCUGCGGCUAACUACGUGCCAGCAGCCGCGGUAAUACGUAGGCAGCGAGCGUUGUUCGGAGUUACUGGGCGUAAAGAGCGCGUAGGCGGCUCGUUAAGUCGGCUGUGAAAGCUCUCGGCUCAACCGGGAAGGGUCAGUCGAAACUGGCGAGCUCGAGGACGGUAGAGGAAGGUGGAAUUCCGGGUGUAGUGGUGAAAUGCGUAGAUAUCCGGAGGAACACCGGUGGCGAAGGCGGCCUUCUGGGCCGUUCCUGACGCUGAGGCGCGAAAGCGUGGGGAGCGAACUGAAUUAGAUACUCAGGUAGUCCACGCCCUAAACGAUGGACGCUAGGUGUCGGGGGUAUCGACCCCCCCGGUGCCGAAGCUAACGCAUUAAGCGUCCCGCCUGGGGAGUACGGCCGCAAGGCUAAAACUCAAAGGAAUUGACGG